AAGCUGACGUUGAUCCUACCUGCGGCGUCUUUGGAAAAGGAAAGUGAUUUCAUCGGCUUAACCGGAAUUCUGGAGGAAAUGGAAAUCCUAUAUUACAGUCCUUGUUACGUCUUUCACUUUCAUACACCAAUCUGCACUUUUUAUCAGUUUCUGACAGCAUUUUUCUUGACCUUACUUCCAAACUUAAGCAUUUUGCUUGAAAGUUGGAUGUUGUUGUUGCGGUUCGUCAGGUACCAGGAGAACGUAAAGGUGGUUUCCAUUACGUGACAGCGGACAACUUUAUAUUCCAUCGCUAUAAAAGAAGUCCGAAUAUUUCUGAUGCCGAAAAUAUGAAUCUUUUGGCUGUCUGGCCCGUCUGAGACAGACGGACCACCAGUAUUUCAAGACCGGAAGCGAGCACUACCAUGAAAACGAAACGGAAGAAAUAAGAAAGAAAGCAGUCGUUAACGAGUGUGUAAAGCUUGCUGUCGAACAACGUAAUGGACUUAAACGUACAUUUGAAGAAGUCAGAGAAAGACAUGGAGAUGUCGUAAUUGGCUACAACCAUAGCCUUGAGCGACGCAUGCAACGAGGACGUCGUGCAAAUCAGCCUUCGAUCCCACAAACAACGGAAGAGACUAAGAGGCUGCUUCAACAGUAUCCAGUGUAAAGCGACUGGAUCAGCCCUUAUCUUCCUAUCACUUGCUGUCCUGUCAGAAAUCCGUUUUACUAGCCAGAUUCUCAGUGAUGGGACGUUUUAUUCUGUGCCUAACUUAUUCUACCAGCUCUUCACGAUCCAUAUCAUGUAUAACGG